CAGUCGCCGCGGUAAUACGAAGGGUGCAAGCGUUACUCGGAAUUAUUGGGCGUAAAGGGCUCGCAGGCGGUUUCUUAAGUCUGAUGUGAAAGCCCCCGGCUCAACCGGGGAGGGUCAUUGGGAACUGGGAAACUUGAGUGCAGAAGAGGAGAGUGGAAUUCCACGUGUAGCGGUGAAAUGCGUAGAGAUGUGGAGGAACACCAGUGGCGAAGGCGACUCUCUGGUCUGCAACUGACGCUGAGGAGCGAAAGCGUGGGGAGCGAACAGGAUUAGAUACCCCAGUAGUCCCUGUCUCUUAUAC
rnacentral:rRNA from 1 species